UCUCGCAAGCACAUGCGCGUUGCGAACCCACCCCUUCUUACCACCCCAUUCUGUCGCAGUAUAUUUUAGUCACUCGAACGUGACGAACGUGUUUUGGACUUCAGCAAAAAAACUAAGUUAGUAGUUAAUAUUCAAUGUUAACAAGAAUGAUAAUAAAUGAUCGAUCUGAACGAUUCUUCGUACGAUCGAGCAAACAAAUUUACAGGAUUAUUCCAAGUAUAAUACGUUUCAUUCCGAAAAAUUAUAUCUAUUUAAUUAAUAAUAAAAUGGUCGGACACACGUUUACUAUAAAUCCAAGGGCUAUCAUAAGAAUAAUGAAAAGAACGUAAAUUAGAUGUUUAUACGAUGUUUGAUAUUGCCAUAAUCCAAGAAUCCGAAAAAACCGACGAUUUUUACUUUCGUCACUCGAAUGGGACGGACGUGUUCUGGACUUCAGCAAAAAUAUUAAGUUAGUAAUUAAUACUCAAUGUUAACAAGAGGGAUGAUAAAUGAUCGAUCCAUCCGGACAAUUUUUCGUUUGUUUGAAUAAACAAAUUUGCACGAUGUUGCAGUCGGUUGAAAUAAUGGCGACGAUCCGACAAUCGAUGUUCCAAGAAAUCGAAGAAACUUUACGAAUGACUGCGUUGCUUCGCCGACGUUUCAACUUAAAAAAAAUAAAAUAAACUGAAAUAAAAUAAAACAAAAUAAAUAAACAAAUAAUAUAAAGAAAAUUAAAAUUAUACCGUGCAUAAAAGAAAAAAAAAGAAAAAUUAAUAGAAUUUCUCGCACAAUAAUUUUUUCUGCGAUUAAGAAAAAUAAAAUAAAAUAAAAUAAAAUAAAAUAAAAUUACGACGUAAAACUGAAACUUACAUUAUCCUGUACAUAAAAGAAAAAAAGCAAAAAAAAAUGUAGAAGAAAAAUUAAUAGAAUAUCUCGUGCAAUAAUUUUGUUCUGCGGUUAGGAAAAAUAAAAUAAAAGAAAAUAAAAGAAAAGAAAAUAAAAGAAGUUUGGAAACAACCUAUUUUCAACCUUCCUUCCUGUACCCACUCCGCCAUCUUCAUCCCUACCAUAACUUCCCUGCUCACGUUAAUUUCUAUCAAACA